CCUCGGGAGGCAGCAGUGGGGAAUAUUGGACAAUGGGCGCAAGCCUGAUCCAGCCAUACCGCGUGUGUGAAGAAGGCCUUCGGGUUGUAAAGCACUUUAAGUAAGGAAGAAAAGAGUAUUGUUAAUACCAAUACUCCGUGACAUUACUUACAGAAUAAGGACCGGCUAAUUCCGUGCCAGCAGCCGCGGUAAUACGGAAGGUCCAAGCGUUAAUCGGAAUUACUGGGCGUAAAGCGCGCGUAGGUGGUUUAUUAAGUUGGGUGUGAAAGCCCCGGGCUCAACCUGGGAACUGCAUCCAAAACUGAUUCACUAGAGUACGAAAGAGGAAAGUAGAAUUCACAGUGUAGCGGUGGAAUGCGUAGAUAUUGUGAAGAAUACCGAUGGCGAAGGCAGCUUUCUGGUUCUGUACUGACACUGAGGUGCGAAAGCGUGGGUAGCGAACAGGAUUAGAUACCCUGGUAGUCCACGCCGUAAACGAUGACAACUAGCUGUUGGGAAGCUAUGCUUUUCAGUGGCGCAGCUAACGUCUUAAGUUGUCCGCCUGGGGAGUACGGCCGCAAGGUUAAAACUCAAAUGAAUUGACGG
rnacentral:rRNA from 1 species